GACGAACGCUGGCGGCGUGCUUAACACAUGCAAGUCGAACGGAAAGGUCCUGCUUUUGUGGGGUUCUCGAGUGGCGAACGCGUGAGUAACACGUGUGUAACCCGCCCUUGACUUAGGGAUAACUCCUGGAAACUGGGGCUCAUACCGCAUAUGAUCUCUUGCUGCAUGGUGGUGGUUGGAAAGAGUCGGCGGUUGGGGAUGGACUCGCGGCUUAUCAGCUUGUUUGGGUGGUAGUGGCUUACCAAGGUUUUGACGGGUAGCCGGCCUGAGAGGGUGACCGGCCACAUGAGGACUGAGAUACGGCCCAGACUGCUACGGGAGGCAGCAGUGGGGAAUAUUGCACAAUGGGCGGAAGCCUGAUGCAAAAACGCCGCGUGCGGGAUGACGGCCUUCGAGUUGUAAACCGCUUUCGCCGGUGACGAGGAGUGAGUGACGGUAAUGGGUCAAGAAGCACCGGCUAACUACGUG
rnacentral:rRNA from 1 species